AUGUCACAGGAAAACAUGUGUGAGGUACUUGGAAUUGAGGAUGAGGUUGAGGAUGCUCAACCAGUAAAGGAUCCAGCUCCAGUUGUUGUGUGCCAUGCUAAUGAGGAGUUAAUGGCUGAGGGAGCUAUACUAGUUGAUGACCAAGUUCCUGAAGAUGUAGAAAUGUCAUAUGACAAAGAUCAUCCUAAAGUUGAGAAAGGUUCAAUCUUUCCAACGAUGGUCGAUUGUAGGAGAGCUAUGAGGCAAUGGGCAAUUAAUGAAGAAUUCAACCUUGGGACUCACAGAGCUGACAAGAGUAGGUGGAUGGCACAUUGUAUGGCUGAGGAUUGUCCAUGGAAAAUAACAUGUUGUAUUAUGGCUGACAAGACAAAGACCAGGGUACUAACAUAG
rnacentral:rRNA from 1 species